ACGCGGGGGCAUCUCGCUUCCCUGUCGUUUUCUCCUCUACUCGGUCCCUGCCUGCAUCAAAGCUUUACUUUCCGACAAGUACUCUGGAAGAUUACGGCGCAUCGGUUUUUGUGAGAAGAAUGGCAAGGGAAAAGCAGUGUCUCCGGAAAAGAAAAGGAAACCGAC
ensembl:ncRNA ZK867.19 ncRNA